GAGUAAUGAACUCUAAAGUUCCAUCUCUCCACUAUGAUUAAGCAGGCAAAGACUGCCAGAGUUGACUUUCUCAGAACAAUGGAAUCUAUAACAAAAUUUACAACAUCUAGAUGGAUGCUUAGUGAAAAAAGAAGCCACUAAAUUUUGGUAAGAGAGCAUUCUGGACUUUAAACUGAUACUUCCACUCUUCCUCAUUCCUCUGCUCCAGGGCUUGGAAAUGAAGGAAGGAAGAGGAGGUGUCAGGAAGAGCAACUGACACAGCCAGAACUGUCCCUAGCAAAAUGGAAUGUGAGGUUACUGCAGCUAUGACCAAGUUUGCAUAUGCAAGCAAUGCCAACCACACCAGAACUAUUAUCUCUUGGACACUGUACAGUGUAUUACGUCUAAUUGCAUAAAUGCUAAAAGGUGGAGGGGGAAAUGUACAUCUAGGGUUAAUAAAGGAUGAUACACAACCUGUCAAAGACUCUCUUUUCUUUUGGUGAGGGCUUCAUGCUAUCUACAGGGGUCUGCAUUCUCUCCAAGCUCUUGUCUAUCUCCCCUUUGGUCUGUAAUGAUCACUUUCCAUCUCUGGGAGCCUUGUGUCUCCUGACUUAAUGCAUUGCAGGAUGCUGAGUCCAAGUUAUGAAAAAGCUAUAGCCAUUAGUGCAUUGCAUCCACCCUGUUUAGAUGAUCUCACCCUCAGCUAUCAAUAUUAGAG
ensembl:lncRNA